GCAGUGGGGAAUAUUGCACAAUGGGGGAAACCCUGAUGCAGCAACGCCGCGUGAAGGAUGACGGUUUUCGGAUUGUAAACUUCUUUUCUUAGUGACGAAGACAGUGACGGUAGCUAAGGAAUAAGCAUCGGCUAACUACGUGCCAGCAGCCGCGGUAAUACGUAGGAUGCAAGCGUUAUCCGGAUUUACUGGGUGUAAAGGGAGCGCAGGCGGGACUGCAAGUUGGAUGUGAAAUACCGUGGCUUAACCACGGAACUGCAUCCAAAACUGUAGUUCUUGAGUGAAGUAGAGGCAAGCGGAAUUCCGAGUGUAGCGGUGAAAUGCGUAGAUAUUCGGAGGAACACCAGUGGCGAAGGCGGCUUGCUGGGCUUUAACUGACGCUGAGGCUCGAAAGUGUGGGGAGCAAACAGGAUUAGAUACCCUGGUAGUCCACACUGUAAACGAUGAUAGCUAGGUGUGGGGGGUCUGACCCCUUCCGUGCCGGAGUUAACGCAAUAAGCUAUCCACCUGGGGAGUACGACCGCAAGGUUGAAACUCAAAGGAAUUGACGGGGGCCCGCACAAGCAGUGGAUUAUGUGGUUUAAUUCGAAGCAACGCGAAGAACCUUACCAGGUCUUGACAUCCGACUAACGAGAUAGAGAUAUGUCAGGUGCCCUUCGGGGAAAGUCGAGACAGGUGGUGCAUGGUUGUCGUCAGCUCGUGUCGUGAGAUGUUGGGUUAAGUCCCGCAACGAGCGCAACCCCUGCCAUUAGUUGCUACGCAAGAGCACUCUAAUGGGACCGCUACCGACAAGGUGGAGGAAGGUGGGGACGACGUCAAAUCAUCAUGCCCCUUAUGACCUGGGCUACACACGUAAUACAAUGGCCGUUAACAGAGGGAAGCAAAGCGGUGACGCAGAGCAAAACCCUAAAAACGGUCCCAGUUCGGACUGUAGGCUGCAACCCGCCUACACGAAGUUGGAAUUGCUAGUAAUCGCGGAUCAGCAUGCCGCGGUGAAUACGUUCCCGGGCCUUGUACACACCGCCCGUCACACCAUGGGAGUUUGUAACACCCGAAGUCAGUGACCCAACCGCAAGGAGGGAGCUGCCGAAGGUGGGAUAAGCGACUGGGGUGAAGUCGUAACAAGGUAGCCGUAGGAGAACCUGCGGCUG
rnacentral:rRNA from 1 species